rnacentral:lncRNA from 8 species
CUUAAAUUAUAAUAGCUGACUGAGGAUUUCAGUGAAAACAUUACGAAGAUGAAAAGACUAAUAAACGUCAAGUCAAUAUUAUGUCUAGCAGGUUAAAAGACCACCACACGCUCUGGCUUGUAUAGUAGACUAACCUAAUAUUGUACUUUCUAUUCCAAUGCAACUAUUGAAUGUGCUAUUGGCGUUGGUGUUGGAAGAUUGUGUGUCUUUGCGAUUUUAGCUAUUCAUAGUUCCUGACAAGCCCAGACGUACAUUACCAUUAGCACAACCACCACAGGGGUUAAUAAAAUACUAAAAUCUAUAAUCUCCUAUAACGCAGAUGUACAAUGUUUUUAUUCGCAAAAUGUACCAUAGUAGGCUGUUAUUUUAUGUUGUAAUUAUCAUCUAGAGAAGCAAUAGUAUUCACUUACAAAGAUAUUUAGUCACGUGCAUUUAAAGUCUCAAAAGGCUUCAAUUUUGCCUGUACAUUUCGAAGAAAUUGCAACAAUUUAUCCGACAUAUUUACCUGUCCUUUGAGAUUCUGUCCAUGUGACAACCAGCAGAAGAAGUACGCAGGUAUGCAGACCCAACGACCACCUGUCAACACAAGGCAUGCUUUCCCGCUUAUUUGUGCAAAAUAUUUCCACAAGUCCUUUUGUUUGGUAAGCAAAAAGCUAAAAGGUUCAUGCACAUGUGGGCAUCUCCGUCUCCGUCCUAGAACAGUGUCGUUGGAAUGAAUGGCAGGCACGCUACGCAGCCUUUGCACAGUUCCAAGGAGUGGGUGACGCAAACCACCAGGCAGUCAGAGUGGAUUGUGUGGUCCCUGUACAGGAGCUCCAGACCCCCACCAGUUCCAGAAGCCACAGCCACCUCGCUGGAUGGACAGAUACAGCAACAGGACGAGCCUUGAGAGCUGUGGAUCUGUUUGAUGCUGUUUGGAACAGAGGAUUGCACUUGAUCAAGACACUCAUUUAGCUUUUAUUUAGUCAGGACAUCUUGAGAGACAUUCUUGUUUUAGUGAGAGAGCAGGACUGCAGACGGCGGCCAUUUUAAGGGACGCUGAACCAGACUUACACCUGGGUCAAAUGUCAUUCCAAUCAAAGGGGUCCAAAUCUUCUUGAACCCUGGGAGGAGAUUCUGAAGAGUGGCUUUAAUUUGUGGGCUAUAUUGUCAAUGUGGAACAGAGGAAGUGUCACUCUGGAAUCACUGGUAAGAUUCUGAUUAUCAUAGUUUGUACGAUUGUAUCAUUAUUUAAGCGAUUGUGUAUCAUUUCACGUCACCUAUGAGAGUGAAGAGGAAAUUCAGCAACUCUUGGAGAACACUGGAAGUCGAUAAAAGAGCUUCUUUAUCAACAGGAUCUUUUCCCCCAUGGUAACCAAAUAGAUAACUGGGUCAAUGGCAUGAUCCAGCAUAAUGUACUGUGUGACAGCCUUUUGGAGGGAAUAUACUGAAGCACCUAGCCACAUUGGCUGCAGUAUCAAAUGGCAUGUGUUCACGUGUAAGAGAGAGAGAGAGUUAUCUCUGUUUUGGGAAAUAGCCCCUGACUGCCAGAGAUGAAACCUACAGCUGCUACAGAAAACUAUAAGAACAUCAACUGCACCACAAUACAUUUGGAAGGCUAUAGCUGAACCUGAUAUGGGGUUACUAGUAUAGCAACAAUGACACCAAGUAUUAGGCAUUUCUAGAGUUCCCUUUUCCUGAUACCAAUCCCUGUGGGCAUUCAGAUUGUGAAAGUCUCUCAGGUAAGGUAGCACAUCAACAGUAACUCAAAACUCCCAGGAGGUAUCAUAUUUUCCCUUUAGUGUAUAGUAACUCUUAUGUUGGAGAGUAAAGGUGUACAUACUGUAUGUUACUGUAUGGAUUUUCUGUUAUCUGACACAAGGCCUCCAGGCAGGGUCUUUAUUUGGACAGACUACUUGAAAUACUCCUCUGGCUGAGCUACAGCAGCAGCUGGGAGGGCUGUGGUCUGUUCGGUUCUGACUGAGACGCUACUUUACUGUCAAUUCAAACCUCCACUUUACUCUCAGAGACAUUAUCAUGGGUUGUUUUACUGGGUCAACACCACUAGACUAAGGAGAAAGCACUGUCCUUCAGCUUGGGGCUGUAUUCAAUGUCCUUCUGUUAUCACAAAGCAGUGAAUACAUUGUCCACUAGAUGCAGAACAUUCAGAGUGAAAGGCUGUAGUACUCCUUCCAAGACAAAGCUGAUGGGCUGUAUAUAAGGCAUUAUAAACUGGGUGGUUCUAGCCCUGAAUGCUGAUUGGCUGACAGCCGUGGUAUAUCAGACCUUAUACCACGGGUAUGACAAAACAUUUAUUUUUACUGCUCUAAUUACGUUGGUAACCAGUUUAUAAUAGCAAUAAGGCACCUCGGGGUUUUGUGAUAUAUGGCCAUAUACCACACCCCCUCGGGCCUUAUUGCUUAAUUACGUAUAAAAGACAUCACUAGAUACUGUGUGAGAGUUAUGUAGUAACUGUAUUAUUAAUGUACUAUGACUCAUAUCUUCUCUGCAGAUUGAUAUGCGGUAGAGACGACCGUGUGACACAAUCUACAAGAGACUCCUACUACGGACCCCAUUUGUUUUGCCCAUCAGAGUGAGAAGAAGGGAUUGA